rnacentral:rRNA from 1 species
AGGAGGCAGCAGUGGGGAAUUUUGCGCAAUGGGGGAAACCCUGACGCAGCAAUGCCGCGUGGAGGAUGAAGUCCUUUGGGAUGUAAACUCCUUUCGAUCGGGAAGAUAAUGACGGUACCGGAAGAAGAAGCCCCGGCUAACUCUGUGCCAGCAGCCGCGGUAAUACAGAGGGGGCAAGCGUUGUUCGGAAUUAUUGGGCGUAAAGGGCGCGUAGGCGGUGCGGUAAGUCACUUGUGAAAUCUCUGGGCUCAACUCAGAGUCUGCAAGCGAAACUGCCGUGCUUGAGUGUGGGAGAGGUAUGUGGAAUUCCUGGUGUAGCGGUGAAAUGCGUAGAUAUCGGGAGGAACACCUGUGGCGAAAGCGGCAUACUGGACCACAACUGACGCUGAGGCGCGAAAGCUAGGGGAGCAAACAGGAUUAGAUACCCCAGUAGUCCG